rnacentral:rRNA from 1 species
UGGAUCCAGACUUUGAUUCUGGCUCAGGACGAACGCUGGCGGCGUGCCUAACACAUGCAAGUCGAACGAAGCUUGACGAAUGAUUUCUUCGGAAUGAAUUCUGAUAUGACUUAGUGGCGGACGGGUGAGUAACACGUGAGCAACCUGCCUUUCAGAGAGGAAUAACGGCUGGAAACGGUCGCUAAUACCUCAUAACGUAUAUUUAAGGCAUCUUAGAUAUACCAAAGAUUUAUCGCUGAAAGAUGGGCUCGCGUCUGAUUAGAUAGUUGGUGAGGUAACGGCUCACCAAGUCGACGAUCAGUAGCCGGACUGAGAGGUUGAACGGCCACAUUGGGACUGAGACACGGCCCAGACUCCUACGGGAGGCAGCAGUGGGGAAUAUUGCACAAUGGGCGCAAGCCUGAUGCAGCAACGCCGCGUGAGGGAAGACGGUUUUCGGAUUGUAAACCUUUGUCUUUGGUGAAGAAGAAAGUGACGGUAACCAAGGAGGAAGCCACGGCUAACUACGUGCCAGCAGCCGCGGUAAUACGUAGGUGGCAAGCGUUGUCCGGAAUUACUGGGUGUAAAGGGAGCGCAGGCGGGACUGCAAGUUGGAUGUGAAAUACCGAGGCUCAACCUCGGAGCUGCAUCCAAAACUGUAGUUCUUGAGUGAAGUAGAGGUAGGCGGAAUUCCGAGUGUAGCGGUGAAAUGCGUAGAUAUUCGGAGGAACACCAGUGGCGAAGGCGGCCUACUGGGCUUUAACUGACGCUGAGGCUCGAAAGUGUGGGGAGCAAACAGGAUUAGAUACCCUGGUAGUCCACACUGUAAACGAUGAUAGCUAGGUGUGGGGGGCCUGACCCCUUCCGUGCCGGAGUUAACGCAAUAAGCUAUCCACCUGGGGAGUACGGCCGCAAGGUUGCAACUCAAAUGAAUUGACGGA